rnacentral:rRNA from 1 species
AUUGAACGCUGGCGGCGUGCUUAACACAUGCAAGUCGAUCGGUAACGCGGGGGCAACCCUGGCGACGAGAGGCGGACGGGUGAGAAACGCUUGGGAAUCUGCCUAUCAGCGGGGGACAACACGGGGAAACUCGUGCUAAUACCGCAUACGCUCUACGGAGGAAAGCCGGGGACCGCAAGGCCUGGCACUGAUAGAUGAGCCCAAGCCGGAUUAGCUAGUUGGCGGGGUAACGGCCCACCAAGGCGACGAUCCGUAGCUGGUCUGAGAGGACGAUCAGCCACACUGGGACUGAGACACGGCCCAGACUCCUACGGGAGGCAGCAGUGGGGAAUAUUGGACAAUGGGGGAAACCCUGAUCCAGCGACGCCGCGUGGGUGAAGAAGGCCUGCGGGUUGUAAAGCCCUUUCGGUAGGGACGAAAGCUCUCGACCUAACACGUUGGGAGGUUGACUUAACCUACAAAAGAAGCACCGGCUAACUCUGUGCCAGCAGCCGCCGUAACAC